UGUAGGCUCUGAUCUGGCUUUUAAGCAACUCUAAGGUUACCCUUAAAGAGGGAAUGUAUUAUGGUAAUGAGUAUCAGUGAAAGUGUGCUGAGAGAAAAAGUCCUGCUCAAUAGAAUACAAUCUCUCAUCUCGUAGUCACUUAACAUUCCAGUUCGGUUAGGUUAACUAUCUGGCUAAGGGACAUCCCUCAAUCUCUCAGGAAGGCAGGAUCACGUUAAGGCAAGCUGAAGAGAGAACUAGAUUAAUUCAUUCUUUGAGUUAGGGGCUUGCCAAGAGACUCAUUGAAACCACUGUCACCGAAGAAUCUUGUCACUUACUGUUACUCGAGACUUCAGGAAGUCAGCAUGUGCUAGCUGAGUUUGAAGGGACGUGAGGAAUGUAAGUGAAACCACUGUGUGAGAUUGGAAAACCAACCUGUGUGAGUUGGAAUAAUGUAAUGCUUGUGAGAUAAGGAGCCAUACAAGAGGCAGCUUCAAUGUGAGCCAAGCUUUAGCACGCUCUGAUAAGUUAAUGAACCAACCCCAAGAUAACUCCAUAUGUUAAAGAAUCAUCCAACCCUAAACUUCAAGACCAGAUUGCACAAAGCUAAUACCAUGGGAACAAUGAAAAAAAAUGGAGCCAGCCAGGUUAGCACUGCUGUGCUCCUGAGGGGUGGCAUCAAAGCCCUUGUGUUGAUCCCAUAAGCAAUGGGACUUUGAGACCAGUCUCUCUGUGACUCUAGCUCCUGUGACUGUUGGGUUUGUUGGGUUUGUGGCACCCUUGCCAAGUUCACACUUUUGUCUGCCUGUUUAGGAUUGGUCACUGGUUAAGCUCAAAGACAAGCCUUGCCAUCCUGGCCUGGCCUGCCUGCCAUCCUCCUGGCCUGUCACCCUCAGACAUGGAUGCAGUUCAAAUCCCAAGUGAUUUCAAUGGAGGUUAGAGGAUUCUUCAGCUAAGCCUGCAGCAGAGUCCCACCUUUCUGGCUUGAUACCCGGGAACCUGGGAGACGGCUGAGUGGGUAAGGACACAGGAGGACCUGAGUUCAGAUAGCCCUGCAACCCCACCCGAUGAGUCUGGCCCCCCAGUACAGUGGAUUUUCUGGCUGAUGAGCCUCACUCUAAGACAAAAUUUAUUGGGAUUAAGGAAAUUGUAUUGAGUCCCUGGAGCACUACAGGAAGUGCUGACACCAAUCCUGGAGCACUACAGCUGGCCAGUGGAGCACCCUAGUCAGUGAUGAUGUCACCCUGUUGAGCACUCUAGGCAGUGAUGAUGUCAGUCCGUGGAGCACUCCCAGCAAUACUGACAUCUUAACAAUAUUAAAUGUACUAAUCUAUGAACAAAAUGUCUUUCUAUUUAUUUGUGCCUUGGCAAAUUUCUUUCUGCAAAAUUUAAUACUUUUUAGUAUAUAAGCCUUUGAAAACUAUCUCAGCCUAUGUGGUAUGGUCCUGGAAUGCUGAAAGGGCUCUUAUGGACUUCCCUUAACAGUGGACCUAAUGGAAGGGUGAACUUCUGUGCCCUGUCCUCUCACCACGCCCCGGGCAUGUAGAAGGUAGAUCCCCUAGGAGGGCCAAGGGUAGGAGCAAAGGUGCCUACUCCUGGAAGCUUACUACCCAAGUGAGCAGCUCACCCAGGGUUAGCAGACAUACAAGUUUCUUCUAGUCCCAGUGAAACCCAAGUUCAAGACCAGCCAUGGUAUGUGGGACAUGAUUGACAGCUGGGGGGGGUGUGUGAAGCUCAUGAAGCCAGUAUGACACCUGUGAAGCAGGCAUACCUUCCUGAGAGAAAUCCGAGGCCAGGCGAAGUGGUCCAGUGCAUCCACGGUGGUGCAUCUACCGCUUGGCAGUAGGAGAGACUAACACUCCUUACUCAGCCCUACAUGGCAAUAUCACACCACAGACUACUGUGCAGUGUUCCCUCUAGCCCAUCUCAAGGUCUAGCCCAUCUCAAGGUGGGCCUUGGGAGAGGUACAGAGCACUCCAAGGGACCAUGGUGAUGCCGUGCCAACCUGUCUCCAGAGGACAGGCUCAGCAGGGCAUAGUAAGGAUCUCUGGAUUUAAGGAGUGGAACGCAUGUAGUAUGGGUGCCUCAGCAUAGCUGUGGUGACACAUGCUGGUGUCCCUGUCCUGGAAGCACCAGGCUACCAGGCUACCAGCACAAGAUGACUCUUCACUGGAACCCAAAUAGCUUCUCAGGUUGUCUUUGGCGGGCUCAGGACCUCCAGGGUCAGGAGCCUGCGUUAAGUUAGGAGGCCUUUGAUACUGCCCUAGCUGCGGAGACUUUCCCCUCUCCAGGCUAUAAAUAUUUAUACCCAUCUCCUUCCAAGAAGUUCUCAGUUCCAAGAAGCUAUGGCCUUCAAAGUUGGUGUGCCUCAAGUCACAACAUAUUCCCCAUGUGGCCUGUACAGCCCGGCACUCCCCAAACUACAGGAGCUGCCAGACCUCCGCUCACCUCCUAGAUAACACUUCUCCUGCCUAAUUCCUAUGCUGUGCCCACUACCCCCCACCUCCCAGGUCUCCACUGCCAGUAGAUCCUCGCUGACAUCUGCCUUUAAGCAUACUCUCCCUUCGUCCUGGGCAUGCUCUUCUCUCUCACCUCUUGGUCUCCCACACCUCUGUGUUGAAUCACCCUAUCUCACCCAUGCAGGCUUCUUGGAACUUCUGAAGGCAGCUCAGUGCCCCAGGAUGAGGCUUCCCACAAUGCUAUGAACAGUCUGGUCCUGCUGGAUUCUGUUUGGCAAAGAUUUAUGUCUCCUAUCCUGACUGCCCAAGACUGGCCAUUACUCAGCUUCACCCCUGGUGGCAAAGGUGAUGCUCACGUAGGAAUUGCUACCUGUGCUCUUCAGAGGGGCCAGCCUGCCCAGUUCCUCUAGGGAGCAAGUGCAACCCAGGCAUGCUCUACGUAGAACCUAUCCCUGGGAAACUCUGGAAAGAAUACAAAUUGUAGGACUGGGAGGAUUUGUUUCUCUCAUUAUAAAAAUAGCAUUGGUGGUUAGAUGGCGCAUCUAAGAUGGCUUGGCGCAUGCCCUGUACCAUGCAGAUACUCCUGAAGUGGAGCAGGUGUGGUAGCCUAUCCAGGCAUGUUCAAGCUGUAGCCUACAGGCUACAUGUGGCCUGGCACAUGUGAGAAUGACAGUGUCAUAUCACAAUGUCAAAGGUUGGAUGCCCCUGAAUAUGGAAGCAGAUGCUUAAAAGGACUAAGAGUCUUGUCUAAGCACUGGGAUUUGGACAGGGACUCUCUGCCUCCAAAUCUAAGCAUAGAUACCUUAAUUACCAAGACCCAAAAGACUCUCAGGGAACCACAGAGAUACCCUGAGAAAAUCUCUUAGUUGUUGGUCCCAGUGGUGGGGACAGAACCCAGAGCUUAGUACAAGCUAGGUAAGUGCCCUCUACCACUGAGCAACAAGUGCUAUGCAUCCUGCUAGUACCUACCUGGAAUCUCUGAGACAGUCGGUCACCUGAUCAAGCUUACAGAAGAGUAGAUGAUGGUAGCAGUCAAAGGUUUGUAGUCCCCUGGUGACAUUACCUGGCUUACUUAUGUGACACCCAAAAGGUGUUACUCUCUUAACUGUUGGUGUUUGUGUGUUUGUUUCCCUCCUAGGAGGGUCCCAGCCAGGCCCCCUUCACUCUUUUGGCUCAGAGAAAGCUUGUCACAGCCUACACCAGCACUGACAAGAUCCCUGCAGUACCCCUACAGGGUGGAAGUGAUCUGUCUGGAAAAACCAGAAGAAGCUCUGCCCUUCCCCCAGCUCUGCAGGAAGCGCCAGCUGAGAGAACAUUCUCAGCCACAGCACUUCCUGAGGCUCACCUCCCUCAGCCAGAAAAGACCAAGCUGUCUGAGAACACCUCGGGCAGGGAGCUCUGACCUGACAGUAGCUUGUGGUAAGCAAUGCCAAUUACCAGCUGUAAAGGCAGGACCUGCUUCUCGGGUCACAGCCCUCACAGCCCCAAGGCCUCCAGAGCAGGAAGACAGCAUGGCAUCCCACCUCCUGGCCAAGGGCAUCUUGUCCUCUCCUCAGCUAACUCCUACAAGUUGUCCUCUUACCUCUACAUGCAUUCCGUGCCGUGCAUGUACCCACACAUGUAUACAUACACACAUCAGCAAAGGUAACUAAAACAAUACAAAGCAAAACAACCAAAGCUGCUGGGGCUAGGAACAUAAGGCCAUAAAUUUGGUCCCCUAGUACCUGCAUAAGAAGUGAAGCAGAGUAGGGUAUGCUUGUAAUCCCAGCACUUCUCAGGCUACAAGGGAAUCAGGAGGACACCACCCAACUCCGUCAGAUCAGUGAGCUCCAGGUUCAAAGAGAGAUCAUGCCCCCCAAAUUAGAGAUCAAUUAAGGACGUUACCAGAUGUCUACUUCUGGCCUACACAUGUACAUGCACAUGCGACCCCCCACACACACACAUACACGCACACACUCUCUCAUGAAAAGUGUGAAACAAAAUAUAAACUAGGUCGGUUAGACAAGUCUCAAUGACUAGAACUGGCAGAUAGUAGGUGAUCAAUAAAUAUUUGUUGAGUAAACUCCACUGCCGUUAUACAAGUCCCUGAUUUGACUUUGAAGACUCAAAGCUCAUUCACUAAAGGGGCUGGGGGUGGGGCUGUGCUGUAGUUUGGACAGAGACUGUCCACUGAAGUCUCAUGUUCAAAAGGAUUGUCCUUAGAUUGGCAAUAGAGGGAGGUGACCGAGCCAUUAAGAGAUGUGGCUUAGGGAAAGGUUUUAGGCCAAAACCUCAUCCUCCCACCCUCUUCCCCCACUUUUGAUCCACUGCGUCUCCUCCAUCCCUUGCUAUCUCAUCAUGGGCCCAAAGCAACAAGACAAACCAUCCAUUCACAGAAACCCCCAAACCCUGUGUCUUUAUAGGUUAAUUAUCUCAAGAGUCCUGUUACCAUGACAGAAAGUUGACUGGUGCACACCUGAAUUCACACUAGAGGCCCAAUGUUUGUUUUCCAAAUGUCUACGAAAAGAAUUACAUAGACCUUUUAGGACGUACUAAACAUUGGUUCUGAGAUAACUCCUGUUGGCUCAGGGUGUCACCAAAUUUCACCAUCAGGAAUAAGAGCUCAACAGCUGUAGAGGCAUGCCAGGUCACAAAACAGAGCCACAUCCCAAGUCCACCUCAGAGCAACCACUCUGGUGACUUCCCUGUCCUGAGUGUCAGUUGACAAAGACAUAGUCAACAGCUGACAGAAACUCCACCCUGUUCCCUGAUCCAUGAUGCACACAUGUAGCAAGAAAGGUUAGCUGGGAGCCUCAGGAGUGCUCACCACUCCCAAACAGUGGCUCACUGCCAAUCCUUCAUCCUUGGAGACUAAAGCACACCACCAGCUGAGAAGAGUGGUCUCUGCUGCCUGCCC